rnacentral:rRNA from 1 species
CCCUUCGAUGUCCUGGGCCGCACGCGCGUUACACUGACGAAUGCAACGAGUUCUUUCCUUCUCCGAUGGGAGCGGGUAAACUUUUGAAAGUUCGUCGUGAUGGGGAUUGUCGCUUGCAAUUAUUCGACAUGAACGAGGAAUUCCUAGUAAGCGCAGUUCAUCAAACUGCGUUGAUUACGUCCCUGCCCUUUGUACACACCGCCCGUCGCUAGUACCGAUUGAAUGAUCUGGUGAGAACUCAGGACGGCGGGACUGCGGUUACCUCGCAAGGGGUAACGGGUUCUGCCGGAACGUGUUCAAAUCAUGUCAUUUAGAGGAACUAAAAGUCGUAACA